AGCUCUCCACUGACUUGCUUGUUGUGUGAUUCGGACAAUGAAUCUAUUGAUCACCUCUUUUGUCACUGUGAAUACACCAGACACAUAUGGGAUAAGUUACUGGAAGCCUCUCGUUUUAGCUGUCCACAGCCACGAUAUAUAUACUUUGGAGGGAAAGGAAUAUACGGUUGCAUGAGAACCAAUCGCGCCCCUCUUCUAUUGUUGUACGAGACAUACUUUCUUCAA